rnacentral:lncRNA from 1 species
CUGGAUUAGACUCUGGACUCUGUCAUUUGUGAACUUGGACAAAUGACCUAACUUCUCUGGGACUCAAUUUCUUCAUCUUCGAAGGAGGAAUCUUUAAAAAGGGUAUCUCUGCCAGUGAAUUGCUUAGCAUAGUGCCUGGCACAUAGUAAAUCUUCACAAAAUAAUAGCUAUUAUCAUUGUUAUUAAUAUUUCUGAUGGCUUUUCAGUUCUCCUAAGGCCUGGCUUUACUUAGUUCCCUUUCCCAAGAGCCCAUUGUCUGUGUCUUUAUCCUCACCCUCCCUUCCCUUGAGGGAGUCUUGAAGGGCAUGCGCAGGCUGGCGUCCAGUGCAGUGAAAACCAGCUCUACCCUUUAAGACGAGCUCUUGAGAGGUUGGUUUGAGUCAUGUGCAAGAUUUGUUCUUCAUACAGUCACAACAAAAGGAAGAUAUAAAUAAUUCGUACUCCCACCAUGUUGUUUCCUUCUUUCAUCCUCAGGCCCUAUAAGUGUACAUCUGGGUCAUGCUCUAUGAAGAGACUGUUGUUAUCAAUGAGUUCGAUGCAUAUAUUUGUUAGCACUGACAGAUUCAGACACAGAUAUUUUCCACCUCCAAUGUUCAGAUCUGGUGUAGCUGCUGGGAGCCCUGGGCUGGAUAUGUACCCAGGUGACUCAUGGGGAAGGAUGCACCCUUCUGAGAAGCAUCACCUUUCUCAAGAAGCAUGACAGAGCUCCCGAUAUUAGACUUUCAAGACGUCUACCAGGCCUUCUUUGGAAUAAAUUGUGUCAUUGAAUGGAGAUGCGGUCUUGCUGUGUUGUCUGGGCUGUUCUGGAACUUCUGGCCUCAAGCAAUUCUCCUGCCUCAGCCUCCUGAAGUGCUA